rnacentral:rRNA from 1 species
AACGUAGGAGACAAACGUUAUCCGGAGUUACUGGGCGUAAAGGGCGUGUAGGCGGUUUGUUAAGUUUGGCGUGAAAGCUCUCGGCUAAACCGGGAGAGGUCGUUGGAUACUGGCAAACUAGAGGACGGUAGAGGCGUGUGGAAUUCCUGGUGUAGCGGUGAAAUGCGCAGAUAUCAGGAGGAACACCGGUGGCGAAGGCGGUUCUCUGGGCAUGAUCUGACGCUGAGGAGCGAAAGUGUGGGGAGCGAACAGG